UUCCGCGCCAAUAUGCAAGUCGUAGCGGACAGAUGGGAGCUUGCUCCCUGUAUGUUAGCGGCGGACGGGCUGAGUAACACGUGGGUAACCUGCCUGUAAGACUGGGAUAACUCCGGGAAACCGGGGCUAAUACCGGAUGGUUGUUUGAACCGCAUGGUUCAAACAUAAAAGGUGGCUUCGGCUACCACUUACAGAUGGACCCGCGGCGCAUUAGCUAGUUGGUGAGGUAACGGCUCACCAAGGCAACGAUGCGUAGCCGACCUGAGAGGGUGAUCGGCCACACUGGGACUGAGACACGGCCCAGACUCCUACGGGAGGCAGCAGUAGGGAAUCUUCCGCAAUGGACGAAAGUCUGACGGAGCAACGCCGCGUGAGUGAUGAAGGUUUUCGGAUCGUAAAGCUCUGUUGUUAGGGAAGAACAAGUACCGUUCGAAUAGGGCGGUACCUUGACGGUACCUAACCAGAAAGCCACGGCUAACUACGUGCCAGCAACCGCGGUAAUACGUAGGUGGCAAGCGUUGUCCGGAAUUAUUGGGCGUAAAGGGCUCGCAGGCGGUUUCUUAAGUCUGAUGUGAAAGCCCCCGGCUCAACCGGGGAGGGUCAUUGGAAACUGGGGAACUUGAGUGCAGAAGAGGAGAGUGGAAUUCCACGUGUAACGGUGAAAUGCGUAGAGAUGUGGAGGAACACCAGUGGCGAAGGCGACUCUCUGGUCUGUAACUGACGCUGAGGAGCGAAAGCGUGGGGAGCGAACAGGAUUAGAUACCCUGGUAUUCCACGCCGUAAACGAUGAGUGCUAAGUGUUAGGGGUUCCGCCCCUUAGUGCUGCAGCUAACGCAUUAAGCACUCCGCCUGGGGAGUACGUCGCAAGACUGAACUCAAGGAUUGACCGGGGCCCGCACAACCGGUGAGCAUGUGGUUAUUCAACCACGCAAGACUAACAAGGUCUGACUCCUCUGACAUCCUGAGAUAGGACUUCCCUCGGGCGAAUCGUGUGCAUGUGUCCCACCUCCUGUCGACACGUGGUAUCCCGAACCAACCAACCUUAUCUAAUUGCCGCUUCAUUGGCACCAGGACCCCGUACAACCGAAAAGGUGGGAAAACUCAAUUUUUCCCCUUUACCUGGCCUAACCGCAAGAAGACCCCCAUU
rnacentral:rRNA from 1 species